rnacentral:rRNA from 1 species
GGGGAAUCUUGGACAAUGGGCGCAAGCCUGAUCCAGCCAUGCCGCGUGGAUGAUGAAGGCCUUAGGGUUGUAAAAUCCUUUCAGCGGGGACGAUAAUGACGGUACCCGCAGAAGAAGCCCCGGCUAACUUCGUGCCAGCAGCCGCGGUAAUACGAAGGGGGCUAGCGUUGUUCGGAUUUACUGGGCGUAAAGCGCGUGUAGGCGUGUCGUUAAGUUGGGGGUGAAAUCCCGAGGCUCAACCUCGGAACUGCCUUCAAAACUGGCGACCUGGAGCAAGAUAGAGGCAAGUGGAAUUGCGAGUGUAGAGGUGAAAUUCGUAGAGAUCGGGAGGAACACCAGUGGCGAAGGCGGCCAUCUGGACCAGUACUGACGCUGAGGCACGAAAGCGUGGGGAGCAAACA